UUUUUAAGUCAUGCUCAGGAUGAACGCUGGCGGCGUGCCUAACACAUGCAAGUCGAGCGAUCUCUUCGGACGGACGGGUGAGUAACGCGUGGGUAACCUGCCCUGUACACACGGAUAACAUACCGAAAGGUAUACUAAUACGGGAUAACAUAUGAAAGUCGCAUGGCUUUUGUAUCAAAGCUCCGGCGGUACAGGAUGGACCCGCGUCUGAUUAGCUAGUUGGUAAGGUAAUGGCUUACCAAGGCAACGAUCAGUAGCCGACCUGAGAGGGUGAUCGGCCACACUGGAACUGAGACUCCUACGGGAGGCAGCAGUGGGGAAUAUUGCACAAUGGGCGAAUUUGAAGUCACAGCCUGAUGCAGCAACGCCGCGUGAGCGAUGAAGGCCUUCGGGUCGUAAAGCUCUGUCCUCAAGGAAGAUAAAAGCAUGACGGUACUUGAGGAGGAAGCCCCGGCUAACUACGUGCCAGCAGCCGCGGUAAUAUGUAGGGGCGUUAUCCGGAAUUACUGGGCGUAAAGGGUGCGUAGGUGGUCAGAAGUGAAAGGCUACGGCGGGAGGACUCAACCGUAGUAAGCUUUUGAAACUAGAGAACUUGAGUGCAGGAGAGGAGAGUAGAAUUCCUAGUGUAGCGGUGAAAUGCGUAGAUAAUUAGGAGGAAUACCAGUAGCGAAGGCGGCUCUCUGGACUGUAACUGACACUAGGCACGAAAGCGUGGGGAGCAAACAGGAUUAGAUACCCUGGUAGUCCACGCCGUAAACGAUGAGUACUAGGUGUCGGGGGUUACCCCCCUCGGUGCCGCACUAACGCAUUAAGUACUCCGCCUGGGAAGUACGCUCGCAAGAGUGAAACUCAAAGGAAUUUCGGGGACCCGCACAAGUAGCGGAGCAUGUGGUUUAAUGCGGAGUCAAGCGAAGAACCUUACCUAAGCUUGACAUCCCACUGACCUCUCCCUAAUCGGAGAUUUCCCUUCGGGGACAGUGGUGACACGAAGCAAGGUGGUGCAUGGUUGUCGUCAGCUCGUGUCGUGAGAUGUUGGGUUAAGUCCCGCCAACCCUUGCCUUUAGUUGCCAGCAUUAAGUUGGGCACUCUAGAGGGACGGCUAUGCCGAGGAUAACUCGAGGUGGGGAUGACGUCAAAUCAUCAUGCCCCUUAUGCUUAGGGCUACACACGUGCUACAAUGGGUGGUACAGAGGGUUGCCAAGCCGCGAGGUGGAGCUAAUCCCUUCAUUCUCAGUUCGGAUUGUAGGCUGAAAGAGAGCUCGCCUACAUGAAGCUGGAGUUACUAGUAAUCGCAGAUCAGAAUGCUGCGGUGAAUGCGUUCCCGGGUCUUGUACACACCGCCCGUCACACCAUGGAAGUUGGGGGCGCACGGUCCAGACCCGAAGCCGGUUAGCUAACCGGCCGUCGAAGGUGAACAAAUGACUGGGGUGAAGUCGUAACAAGGUANCCGUAUCGGAAGGUGCGGCGGACUAG
rnacentral:rRNA from 1 species